rnacentral:rRNA from 1 species
UACGUAGGGUGCAAGCGUUAAUCGGAAUUACUGGGCGUAAAGCGUGCGCAGGCGGUUUUGUAAGUCUGCUGUGAAAUCCCCGGGCUCAACCUGGGAAUGGCAGUGGAUACUGGCAAGCUAGAGUGCGGUAGAGGGUAGUGGAAUUCCCGGUGUAGCAGUGAAAUGCGUAGAGAUCGGGAGGAACACCAGUGGCGAAGGCGGCUACCUGGACCAGCACUGACACUGAAGCACGAAAGCGUGGGGAGCAAACAGGGA